GAUCUUCGCUGUUCCCGGGCCGGAUGGCUGGCUCCUCCUCCGGUAGUGGCUCCGCCCUCCAGUUCCCUGACAAGCCUUUUUUUCUUCUCUGGUCGCCCCGGCGCGGCCUCCACCCCUCGGCUUCAACAUUAACGAACUUCCAUCGCCGUUCAUGGAUAAUGGUGUGGUUUCAUCGGAUUUGGAUCAUAUUUGUCUGCAGUAAUUGAGAACUGGCAUGGGUUGCGUUUAGGGCGGUCUUCUUUUUCCUAGCACCACCUGUUCGAUGAAAUGCCUCAUAGAACGCUUCAAUUUUAAUUGGGAGAAGCAGUAUCUCUUAGUUUCCUAAUUAAUUGGGUGCUGGAGAUUGAGCAUUUUGGGUGUGAAAGUUGCAAUCUUUGCAUCAGCUUUUGGGUGGUGAUGAUAUCAAGGGAGAGAAGCUGACUCUAACAUACAUAGAUAGAUAUUCCAAAGGCCUCCAAUAGUAUACUCUCCUUUGUGGGAUCCAUAUCCGAAAGGUGCUUACUCAGUAUCAUUGAUUUCAAGCCGCCUCAAUUAUCAGCUGCAAGAUUAUAUAAUUUUGGCUUCAAGGUUUGUGAACUUUUUACUGUGGCUACUGCAACUGUUGCUGAUAAGGCCGUUGAUGUAAAGAAUGCUGUUGAGGUUAAUGGAAAAGGUCAUUGAUGUAUAGAAUAGUGGCCACAACUAUCCUCCAGCUGCUGCAGAUUUUGUUUCUAGUUGAAAACUUAUGAAGCUCAAUUUUUUCAAUGUUAGUUAGAGUUG